AGAAGAGGAUUGAAUUAGAGGUUUUGGGUGUGACACUUGUUCCCCAUUGCUCCUCUAUUUCUUUUGGUUUAUAGCUUCUUAUCCAUAUGUUAUCCUCCCUUGUCCUUGGCCCCAUUACAACCAUGAAAAGACCUUUUGAUUUGAACAUGCAUAUGUGCUUGAGUGUUGAUAUUAGAGGCUUGCCAAGUCUAUUUGUGUUUGCUUUCUUGAGUGCAUUGAGUGACAUUGAUUUACCUUAAACACUUGAGAGAAACACUGAUAGUGCGCAUCUGUGAGGUUCUGUUGCUUUUGAUUCACCUAUUGAGCUAAUUGAUCGUUUUUCC
rnacentral:lncRNA from 1 species